rnacentral:rRNA from 1 species
UACGAGGGGUGCAAGCGUUGCUCGGAAUUAUUGGGCGUAAAGGGUAGGUAGGUGGUCUCGUUUGUCUGGGGUGAAAGCCUUGAGCUUAACUCAAGAAGUGCCUUAGAAACGGCGAGACUGGAGUACUGGAGAGGGUCGUGGAAUUCCCGGUGUAGCGGUGAAAUGCGUAGAGAUCGGGAGGAACACCAGAGGCGAAGGCGGCGACCUGGACAGUUACUGACACUCAACUACGAAAGCGUGGGGAGCAAACAGGG